UACGACUACAUAUCAGGCAUAUCAAUAAGCGGAGGAAAAGAAACUAACAAGGAUUCCCUUAGUAACGGCGAGUGAAGCGGGAAGAGCUCAAAUUUGAAAUCUUCAAGGUUUUACCUUGACGAAUUGUAGUUUAAAGAAGUGUUUUCUGUUGAAGUUUUGGUAAAAGUUCUUUGGAAUAGGACAUCAUAGAGGGUGAGGAAUCCCGUAUUUGACCAUUAUUUUCAGCUGUGUGAUACACUUUCAAAGAGUCGGAUUGUUUGGGAAUGCAGUCCAAAAUGGGUGGUAAAUUUCAUCUAAAGCUAAAUAUUGGCGAGAGACCGAUAGCGAACAAGUACCGUGAGGGAAAGAUGAAAAGAACUUUGAAAAGAGAGUUAAACAGUACGUGAAAUUGUCAAAAGGGAAGCGUUUGACACCAGUGUUGUUUUCUCGAAAAUCAAUUAAAAAAAGUUGGAUUUUGUGUUGUAUUGACCUUAACAGCUUGCUUCACUCUUUUCCAGCUUUUUUUAAUGCACUUUUCGUUUAACAAGUCAACAUCAGUUUCUUUUGUUGUAAAAGGGUCAUUGGAAGGUGGCUUUCUCUUCGGAGAAAGUGUUUAUAGCCUUUGAUCUCUGCAAUCGGAGAGACUGAGGUCUGCAGCGUAGAUCCUUCGGGGUUAGAUACAUUUGUGCUAAGCUACAGCUUUUCAUAGACAACUUGUUGACUAUGUUUAGUCUUGUGACUUACCCGCUUAUGCUAUUUUACCUACGCUUAGGAUGUUGAGCGCAUGUCUCUCUCU
rnacentral:rRNA from 1 species